ensembl:lncRNA
UGGAGGGGUGGAGGUGGGUUUAUACAUAAAAAGUGAUUGGUGGGGGGCCUCCCGGGUGGCACAGUGGUUAAGGGCGUAAAAUAAAAUACAUUUUAAAAAGUGAUUGGACGUAGGAUGCACAUAAACAUGGCUGAAAGGUGACUGGUUGGUAGCAGGAAUAUAUACAUAUUUAUGAUAAUAUAUUAACGGGAACAUAGUGAUAUUUAUUAUAAUCUGCAACAUUUCAACUUCUAAAAUACAUAGAGUCCUUGUAAUUUACAGCAUCGCUCAGUCAACAAAACAUUUGCUAAAGUUGCCCAAUUAGCGGGAGGGCUGGGGGAAAGAUCUGUGUCGCACACAGUGCUCAAGUCUAUGACGUCUGUCAGUCAAAACCCCGGCACAGGGUAUGUUACUGUAUAGCAUGUUACUGUAUAGCAUGUUACUGUAUAGCAUGUUACUGUAUAGCAUGUUACUGUAUAGCAAAGUUGGGUCGAAGCUCUGAAGACGACAGCAUUACGGUACGGCGCCAUCUUAUGGAAAACAUGGACACUGUUACAGGAGAAUAGAUUGGAUCGCAGCGGCUUUCCGCCGUGGGAAAACCAGAUGAUCUGAGAUGCAAAAUCCCAUCUAAAGUCAAGAAUCCAGUGGCUUGAUUUAUUAAAACUAAAAGUUUUUAUUUGUAAAAUUCAAAAUAAUACAUUCAGAUAAUAACAAAGGUUCCAAUAUUCAAAACAUGUGUGCCUUCACAGUAUCUCAAGCAUUUGCCCUAACCAGCAAGCCUUACUUCCUGUCUCUAAAUUCCCAAUUUACAUAUCUGGGCGGGCCCGCCAGUAUUUCUAACUGUUUCUGGCUAGAGGGCGUAAUUGACCGUUUCGCAUUUAAAUCAAAAGACCACAUAACCAAAUUAAUGUAUACACCUUAUAUAGAAUCGAAAUGAUUCUAAAUGGUGCAAUAUGACCUAAUAAACAGAUAUUUGCAUAACCAAAGAAAGAUAGAAACUGGCUCCAACAGGGGAAGAAAGAGAAGAUGGGAAUGUGCCCUGUUUCUUUGUUUGUUGUAAUUUACAACUUCAUAUAAAGCUUGGAAAUGAAAGCUUGAGAGUUAAACUGAACUGCUUCAGCAAAGACUCAUGGGAAAGGAGAAAGGAGGAGUGUGUUGGUCUGGAAAUAACAGCUGAUUAGAAAGGUUGAGAAUGAGAUUCAAAUGCAGGUUGUGUCAGUGGCCCUGCGCUACCAAAGGUUUUAAACUGGAUAUGAUCUACUAUGAAACUGAACUGCUAUAGCAAAGGAAUCCAAGCUGGACAAUUACCUAACAGCUAGUCUCUCGUGUCAUGACAGACUUCUAGGUUCCGAGACGACAGCCUUCUAGGUUCCGAGGUGACAGACUUCUAGGUUCCGAGACGACAGCCUUCUAGGUUCCGAGGUGACAGACUUCUAGGUUCCGAGACGACAGCCUUCUAGGUUCCGAGGUGACAGACUUCUAGGUUCCGAGGUGACAGCCUUCUAGGUUCCGAGGUGACAGCCUUCUAGGUUCCGAGGUGACAGACUUCUAGGUUCCGAGACGACAGCCUUCUAGGUUCCGAGGUGACAGACUUCUAGGUUCCGAGACGACAGCCUUCCAAGAUUAGCCUUCAGAGUCUUAAAACGACAUUGUAUUUAUAAUACUGAGUCAUCAUGUUUGUUGCUUUGCAUUGCAUUCAAAUUGAAGGCUUGAAUUCUUGAUUUGCCUCUAGAAUAAACGUGGGAGUUUUAUACCAUGCCAUGGUUUUACAGCUGCUGUCUUGCCAUUGUAAUAAUAUAGCUCGUAAAUAAUUACAAUAUCAUCAUUCAAAAAUAAUCUCUUUUUAUAUGUGGUUAUUUACAGUAAUUUAUUAGCUUCAAUAGAAACAUGGGCUUCCCACAUUAUGUUAAAGAAGAACAUAAUGCCCUGCAUCUAAAUAUACUUGUAUGUUAUAUGGGUAUCUGACAUUCAUUCAAUGGAAAAUGAAGAAAUAAUAAGAUAUUGUCAAGGAAAUGUAUAGUCUUUCAUUUGUCCUGUCUAGAUAGGAAUAUCACAAGCAAAUCAGGUAUGUCUAUGGUGCAGUGUAUGUUACGCAUGAACGUGUAUACUUUGUUAGACAAUUCUGUGCAUUAUCUGUACUGCCUACUAAUGCUAUACUGUACAUCCUGAAAAGAUAAGCUACUGAGGAUUAGCUCCUGCAUUCACCACCCAUGAGUGGUCUAGCUAUAAUGUUUGUU